UACGGAAGGCAGCAGUGGGGAAUAUUGCACAAUGGGCGCAAGCCUGAUGCAGCCAUGCCGCGUGUAUGAAGAAGGGCCUUCGGGUUGUAAAGUACUUUCAGUCGUGAGGAAGGUGUUAAGGUUAAUAACCUUAGCAAUUGACGUUAGCGACAGAAGAAGCACCGGCUAACUCCGUGCCAGCAGCCGCGGUAAUACGGAGGGUGCGAGCGUUAAUCGGAAUUACUGGGCGUAAAGGGCACGCAGGCGGUUAAUUAAGUUGGAUGUGAAAUCCCCGGGCUUAACCUGGGAAUGGCAUUCAAGACUGGUUAGCUAGAGUCUUGUAGAGGGGGUAGAAUUCCAUGUGUAGCGGUGAAAUGCGUAGAGAUGUGGAGGAAUACCGGUGGCGAAGGCGGCCCCUGGACAAGGACUGACGCUCAUGUGCGAAAGCGUGGGGAGCAAACAGGGAUUAGAUACC
rnacentral:rRNA from 1 species